GAAUACUGUAGGGCUAAGAUGGUCGGCUCUUUAUCAUUUGUCACUAUGCCUGUCACGUUCUAACAAAUAUGUAAGUGCGAAAGUGACGCAUGGCAUGACAGGUGAUAAAAAUGCGACCAUGAUACCGCUGCUGAUAUAUUUAUCCUAGGAAAUCACUAGGGCUAAGAUGGUCGGCUCUUUAUCAUUUGUCACCAUGCCUGUCACGUUCUAACAAAUAUAAGAUUAGAUCUAUUUAUUUCUUAAAGAAAAAGGCAUAGUAUAUUACAAAAAGGGAUAAAACAAAGGCUUUCACUAAAAGAUCGUCAACUUAACAUUAGAGCA